AGUGAACGCUGGCGGUAGGCCUAACACAUGCAAGUCGAACGGCAGCACAGUAAGAGCUUGCUCUUACGGGUGGCGAGUGGCGGCCGGGUGAGGAAUACAUCGGAAUCUACUUUUUCGUGGGGGAUAACGUAGGGAAACUUACGCUAAUACCGCAUACGACCUACGGGUGAAAGCAGGGGAUCUUCGGACCUUGCGCGAUUGAAUGAGCCGAUGUCGGAUUAGCUAGUUGACGGGGUAAAGGCCCACCAAGGCGACGAUCCGUAGCUGGUCUGAGAGGAUGAUCAGCCACACUGGAACUGAGACACGGUCCAGACUCCUACGGGAGGCAGCAGUGGGGAAUAUUGGACAAUGGGCGCAAGCCUGAUCCAGCCAUACCGCGUGGGUGAAGAAGGCCUUCGGGUUGUAAAGCCCUUUUGUUGGGAAAGAAAAGCAGCAGGUUAAUACCCCGCUGUUCUGACGGUACCCAAAGAAUAAGCACCGGCUAACUUCGUG
rnacentral:rRNA from 1 species